rnacentral:tRNA from 1 species
GGGCGGUUAGCUCAGUUGGUUAGAGCGCUACCUUCACAAGGUAGAGGCCGCUGGUUCGAGUCCAGCACCGCCCA